GGUUUAUGCCCUGAAGCCCAUGGAUUCAAUAGAUGUCUUUCAUUUAAAUGAGUUUUGGGUCAGAUCUACUAUGGAUGCACAAACACUGAAAAAUCAACAACAUUCUUUAAGUGGAGUGAGUAGCCGGCUUAACAUGAUGAAUAUCAUUUACUACAUAACUAAAUCUGUAAGGAAUGCCUGAGUUCUGUUGCCUGUUUAAAUAAAAUCAACGAUACUUGGAAAGAACUCAAGUGGACAGAAAUCCUCCUCAAAGAGCAAAGCCAACCAGGACUGACGUGAUUUCCCCACCAGUGAUGCUUGACUGGCUGGGAAAAGCAGCACCUCCAGCACCUGCUGUGAGAGAAAAGGAGCUUGCAAAGUCCUGCAGCCAGAACUGCCACCAAGGUCAGGAAUUGUGCAUUUUCUCAGUUUGGACGUUGGCAGAGGGAUCAUCUAUCACCUGCCUAGCACGGGCCCACAUUUGUUCUGAUGAUGCCCUGAGAAGAGGGAGCUGUUGGAGAGAUUUAAAGGUCCUUUUUCUGAGAAUACCUCCCACAGUACAUUUUUAAUAGCUGGAUUUAUGUGGAGGGAAAAAGAAUCACCACCGAAUUAAAAUACCUUCAAUUUGACCUAUAAGUCUCAGCUAGACCUACAAAAAGACUCUUAAUUACCUGAAAAUAUUCUGCUUACUAUGUGCUUAACCUUGUAAAUGUUCUUGUGGAGUGCAUGAAAGGAUUUGAGAAAUGUUAAGGUUAAAAUUUUACAAAACUCUUAUUAUAGUUGGUUAUUUCCAUUUGAGAAUAAUUAUACAAAAUAUGUCAAGCUUUGCAGACAAAUAAUUCAACUCCCAGAAUUAAAAAACAAAUUAGAAGAUUCAUCAAUGGACCUGUACAAAAUUAUCCAAUUAUUCUGCUGUUUGUUGUAAGUUAGCACCUUUUUAGUCUAAUAUAAUAAAAACAUUUGUAGUUAACA
rnacentral:lncRNA from 1 species